AAAAGUUUCGUACACAUGUUGUCUUAAACAUGCCAAACACAUAGGGGGCGGUGUGGCGCAAAGCUAAAA